GACGAACGCUGGCGGCGUGCUUAACACAUGCAAGUCGAACGGAAAGGCCCCCUUGUGGGGUACUCGAGUGGCGAACGGGUGAGUAACACGUGAGUAACCUACCCUUGACUUUGGGAUGACUUCAGGAAACUGGGGCUAAUACCGGAUAGGAGCUCCUGCUGCAUGGUGGGGGUUGGAAAGUUUCGGCGGUUGGGGAUGGACUCGCGGCUUAUCAGCUUGUUGGUGGGGUAGUGGCUCACCAAGGCUUUGACGGGUAGCCGGCCUGAGAGGGUGACCGGCCACAUUGGGACUGAGAUACGGCCCAGACUCCUACGGGAGGCAGCAGUGGGGAAUAUUGCACAAUGGGCGGAAGCCUGAUGCAGCAACGCCGCGUGCGGGAUGACGGCCUUCGGGUUGUAAACCGCUUUCGCCUGUGACGAAGCGUGAGUGACGGUAAUGGGUAAAGAAGCACCGGCUAACUACGUG
rnacentral:rRNA from 1 species